GGAACCGCCACCGGCUUCUGCAGUCUUCUAUAAGCAGCCGCGGUGUGCGGACGUCGCGUCGCAGAGCGGUGGUGGUCGCAACCUCGGACCGUAUGGCAAGGUAGUCAUGAACUGCAUCACUGCAGUUCCGCGAUGAUCUACCGAGUCGAGGUCCGGGAAAAGAGCUUUUAUAAGGCUGCCAAUCCUCAAAAUCUUUCACCGAACAGGCAAUGUGAUUCUUAUGGGAACGUCAGAUGCUUCAGAUGAGGCGGUGCACUGUGCUGAGAGAGAAAACCCCUUUCUUACAACGCAUUAAAGGCACAAGAUAAACGAAGACGUAAAUACUAGACUUCGAGAUGUCGAGUGAUAAUGAAGAUCAUCUUAUCAACCCUGCACGAUCCGUCCAUAGACAGCAAAAUCCCUUGUCUGUCACCCAGUCUGGAGAAGUAGAAAAAUUGCUUCCAAAUCACUCCAGUUUCCUCAAGAGACCACUGUCCGUCAUAAGUGUUACUAGUGAGAAUGAUGAUGACCAUGCAGACGUCCUCUCGAACUUACCUAGAGGAAUAUUUAUGUCAUCACCUAGAUCUAUAACAGAGUGUACAGAAUCCGAAA